AUCCCCGCAGGGAGAAGAUGGUGCUGGUUGGGAAGUCCCUGAGAGCGAGUCUCCCUGUCUGGCCCCAGUACAGGGGCCUUGGAAUCACACCUGGGCUCAGAGUCACUUGGAACUCUUCUGUGGCAUCUGAAGCAGAUGGACGAAGCCAAGAGGGCCGAGAGUAUCUCAGCACCUAGAAAUGGACAAGGCUGGUUAUUAGAACAAAGAUUUCGCAGGUGGAUCUCCCAUUAACCAGUCAUAAUGAAGUAAGAACAAGAAGAUGGGGAAGAGGAAGUGUAAAACCGUGGCUUAAAUUUGCCAAGGAUAAGCUGAGUGUACUUCAGCAGUCAUUUGCACAGAAUCCUUAUCCUAAUUUUACAACCAGGGAAAAACUGGCUGGACAGUCUCUUGUCCUGUGUUUGUAAUUGAUAACUGGUUUCAAAAUAAAAGCCAGACCACCACUUAGAGAGAGACACAGAAUGUUCACUGCCAGGGAACUGCAUGAUUCCUCUGCCAAAGGCCACCCAUUUACAAGAAUCCAGGAAAACCAGGUGGAAUCUCCCAAUGAUGACCCUGAGCAGAACUUCUUGUACCCAGGAAGUUCUACUGGGUGGAGCUGGCCACUCUUCCGUGGAGACACAGGGGACUCCCAAUUAACAUGAUGGCUCAAAUAACUGUAGCCUUAUGGAUUAAAAGGAAACUAAGCUGUGAUUUGGAGUAUCCAGGUGAUACAGAAAAUGGCCCUUGUCGAUGUAGAUCAGCAUUAUUUCCUUAUCCUUCUGCAUCUCCUCCUCAGUAUUCUGAAAGGGACAAGCCUGAGAUGGGGGAAAGCCAGCAUGCAAGGCCCUCCCCUUUGUGCUGUGUUCAUGGUGUGCACGGAGAGAGGCAGCAGCAGGAGGAACAGAAAGGUUAUUUUCUUUACUGACUCUUUCAAGGACAUCAGCAGAAUGGUUGGGAAUGUCAUCAUGAGCAGCCUCAGCCUCAGAAUUACCAGGAGAAGCUGGUCUUCCAGGAUCAGGUUCUAAUGUAUAUGAGUCACAGGAUUUAGGGAAGCAGGCACUUUCCCUUCAGUCCCAGCAGCAUGGUUGAUGUUCCCAAGUAAUGGAGAGUCCCUGUGCUCUC
rnacentral:lncRNA from 1 species